CGGGGUGUAGCGCAGCCUGGUAGCGCGUCGCCUUUGGGAGGCGAAAGUCGGGAGUUCGAAUCUCCCCACCCCGA
rnacentral:tRNA from 1 species